rnacentral:rRNA from 1 species
UGGGGAAUUUUGGACAAUGGGCGAAAGCCUGAUCCAGCAAUGCCGCGUGUGUGAAGAAGGCCUUCGGGUUGUAAAGCACUUUUGUCCGGAAAGAAAUCCUUGGCUCUAAUACAGUCGGGGGAUGACGGUACCGGAAGAAUAAGCACCGGCUAACUACGUGCCAGCAGCCGCGGUAAUACGUAGGGUGCAAGCGUUAAUCGGAAUUACUGGGCGUAAAGCGUGCGCAGGCGGUUUGCUAAGACCGAUGUGAAAUCCCCGGGCUCAACCUGGGAACUGCAUUGGUGACUGGCAGGCUAGAGUAUGGCAGAGGGGGGUAGAAUUCCACGUGUAGCAGUGAAAUGCGUAGAGAUGUGGAGGAAUACCGAUGGCGAAGGCAGCCCCCUGGGCCAAUACUGACGCUCAUGCACGAAAGCGUGGGGAGCAAACAGGAUUAGAUACCCUGGUAGUCCACGCCCUAAACGAUGUCAACUAGUUGUUGGGGAUUCAUUUCCUUAGUAACGUAGCUAACGCGUGAAGUUGACCGCCUGGGGAGUACGGUCACAAGAUUAAAACUCAAAUGAAUUGACGGGGUCAUAGCUGUUUCCU